rnacentral:tRNA from 1 species
GCCCCAGUAGCUCAGCGGAUAGAGCAACUGCCUUCUAAGUAGUGGGUCACAGGUUCGAGUCCUGUCUGGGGUA